CAAAAGUGUCUGACCAGUGGAGGAAAAUACCAGUUCAACUGAGUUUGUUUUGUUUUAUCGCGAAGAUACAAUUAGUUGCAGAUAUGAUCCGGACAUUGGGAUUGUAGCUGCAAUCGUUCCAAUACGAAUCACAUUCUGAUGAUGUUGGAAUUGAGUGGCGCAAAUGGCUGCGAUCAUUUGAGACGAUGAUUCGUGCAAGCCGGAUCAGCGAAGACGAAUGGAAACGAGAUUUAUUGCUCCACUACGCUGGUGCUAGUGUUCAGCAGAUGUUUGAGACGCUGCCAGAUUUACCCGAAAGUCAUUUGCGAGGGCCGUUGGUGGGUGUUGAAAGCUACACGCCAAAUAUGACGAGUUACGAAGAAGCUGUCACGAAGCUGAAUACGUUUUUCCUCCCGAAAGAGAAUUCAACCUACGAGAGACACCUACUGCGACAGAUGAGGCAACAAUGUAACGAGAGCAUCGAUGCUUUUACCAUUAGACUUCGGUGUCUAGCACAUCAGACUCACACAGUACAGAGAGCACAAAUAAAGAAUCAUAUAUGUUGCAGAGAGCGAACGGUGUUACAUCUGUUCUUUGUGAUCCUGAUUGACGCUCUUCUAUACUACAUUGGCGACGAGGAUUAUAAUGGAGAAUUCUUUGGGAGACAAAGUCUUAGUGAAGAAUAUGGCAAAAUCCAACAAGCUAACACCAAGCUUUGAACCAGAGAUAUUUAGAGUUGUUGAGCGGAAAGGCGGAGAUGUACAAGUUUUGUCAGAAGAAUCUGGAACAACCUAUCGUAGACAUGUGUCACAUCUACAGCGAAUUGACGAAGAAUACGACAAAUCACCGAGUACGGGAAUAGAUACGAGCGGAAUGAAUCGCAUCGCAUCGCGCGGCAUAGGUAGUAAGAGGACGGCAGAGUGCGAAGAUCAUGAUGCAGCUGAUUCGGGAUCCAGAACUAAACGAGCAGCGCGUCAACCUAUGUACCUGCAGGAUUACGUGUAAGAUUAUUAGUAAAAAAAGGGGAAAGUGGUGUAGUAUCGUAACACUGUAAAUGUAACGCAUAACGGAUAUCGACUUCAGUGUCUAGCACAUCAGACUCACACAGUACAGAGAGCACAAAUAAAGAAUCAUAUAUGUGUCAGAGAGCGAACGGUGUAAACGUCUGUUCUUUGUGAUCCUGAUUGGCGCUCUUCUAUACUACAUACGGGAGAAAGCAGAAGGGAAAUUAUUUGCUUGAAGCGUGAAAGAGACAGACUGAUCAGGAACGAGCUUCGGCACUAGCGUAUUGUGUUUUGUUUACAAACAAAACACAGUAGAUUUCCAAGAUGGCUGAAGAGUGGUUUUAGCAAGUUGGCCCACCUCAGGAUAUACUUCUACGCGCCUUGGUUUUAGCAAGGCGUUAUACUAUAGGUGGACCGCAAUGUCAAAAUUGCUGUUCGGCCAUUGCUCGUGAAAAAACAAAUUUGUUUACAAAGCAAAUCAUAUCUUUUGUCACCAAUGCAUUCGUUGGCAAAAUAGCUGCUCGAGCUUCACUGUAGGCAGAUAUCUACAAUCAGCGGUCGAAUUAAAAACAGUGCAGAAGGAUGUUUUGAGUAUAUUUUACCUUCUAGCCGCGCAAUCAAUGCUUUUAUUUCCAAGCAAGCAGCGUUUUUCGGCAAAAGCAUGAAAUAGAAUCGUACGUGGUAGAAUUUAUCGACACAAUCUGAUCAAGGACGGAGGCAUCAUCAAACGGAAACUAUGCGAAAAACUUUUCGAAGAGAUAAAACUGCGCCGCAACACUCGUGUCAAAAUGGACGAGUUGGGCUGGGUGCUGAUGAACCACGAUUUGAUAACACGUAAUGAGCCAAUCCAACAGCAUGCCAAUGGUAAUCGACCAAAUCAUUUUGAAUUGAACAUGGAGCGGUUGCGAAACCUACUGGAGCAGCAUGAACAGAACAAUCACGCUGAGUUGACUUCCAAAAAGCAAAACAAAUUCCUGCGUAUGCUGGAUGCAAUUUUAAAAACGACAAAGUUUUGAAGGAAAUUAAAGAGAUGGUAGCGGCGAAUCGACUUCUAUCGGAAAUUCGUUAUGUGACUACGGUGGAACGUAUGCUGAAACACAAUUUGGACCCCUCUUUGCGCUGCUGCUUUGUAUGCCGAGAGUAUUUCCGCACUGCCGAUGAGUAUACCAGUCAUUUCGAAAAAUUGCACGGUGAGAAAUUUCUUAUUGUUGCGGCGGUGGAUCGAUUUCAGACUUGUCAAAAGUUCAACGUUCUACAUCACUACAAUGCCCUUAAUCCGGUGACAAUAUUCACGAUUUGCAACGUAUACCACAC